CCCCAAACUGUCACCCGCCCGUACUCUGCCACCUCACUCAGGUCACCCCACAUCACACUUUCACCCCCUCACACUAUGUCACCCCUCUUAUUCUGCCACACUGUCACCCUCCCUCUCACUGUCACCCUACCUCUCACUGUCACCCUACCUCUCACUAUGUCACCCCCCUCUUACUCUGUUACCCACCUUCACUAUGUCACGCUUCCUCUCACUCUGUCACCCCUCUUACACUAAUGUAACCCUCUCUCACUAUGUCACCCCCUCUCACACUAGGUCUCACCCUCUCACACGGUCACACCCCUUCUCACCCUGUCACCCCCUCUUACUCUGUCACUCACCCUGUGACCCCCCACACUGUCACCCACCCGUACUCUGU